rnacentral:lncRNA from 1 species
GGGCUUGCAACCAUCACUUGUGUCUUGAGCAGUUAAAAGACAGAACGGUCUAGUCAAGCGCCACGUCUCUUGUUCUUCGAUUAACUAUAGCUCUAGAUUUUUUGCAGAUUUUCAAAUAAAACUUAGAGAUUCCUUGUAUGACUCUCUCUAGUCUCUCUUUUGUGGUAUUUCUGGAUCCUUACCAAGGCAGUAAUGGUGUAUGCCUUCUCUCAAAGUAUGUGGUAUUUUUGGUAUGAGGCAGAGUGACAUUGUCUUCUCUCUCACCAUACUCUAAUAAGGUUUUGAUAUCUGGAGCUCAUAGGUGAGAGACAGCUAAUACAUACUUACAGGACAUUUAUUGCAUAGUCAAACCAUGGAUCUAGAAGAACAAGUUAAUAAGUCAAAACAAGAUGUGCAUGUGUGGCGAAUGAAUGGUGUAUGGUGAUGAUGGUGAUAACAAUAGUGAAAGUCUAAUUCUACUUGUGCUCUUUUGAGGGGAUACAUACCUUUCUUGCUCUUUUGAAACUUUUUGAGGAGAAUGAGAUGCUCUAUAUUUUCUUUUUAUUUUCUCUCAGGUGGGUAUCUUGUACCCCUAAUUCUACUAUCGGACACAUGUCCAUUUUUACCUGUCGUCUCACUUUUCUUUUCUUUCGAGGUUCCGGGCACUUGCCCCUUUUUAUUUCCUCGUAUUCUCUCUUUUUUUUAGAGCACUCAUCUCUUGAAAUAAUAUAGCAAGUGGUAGUAACCAAGAUAACUUGAGUAUUUAUUUCACAGGGAAAAACAGGAAUAAGAGAAUGUAUUUGGCUAUUCUCUCCUAGAUUAGGAGUAGAAUAUUUUUGGGUAGAAGCAGCUUGUGUGAGUAAACGUGCAAGUGAAUCUUGAUUUUAACCACAUGACAAGCUCCUAAGGGUGUACACAGCUUGACCACACUCAAUGCUCAUAAGCAGUAAAAAGUAAAUGUAUGGUUCAUAAUUUGAUAAGCAUAUAUAUAUGGCUGCGGUAGGAUUUUAAACUCUCAUCAUACAGGAACUCAUCAUGUAACAUUUUAAAGAUUUUCAAAGAUAAAAUUCUCCAAAAUUCUAGCAUCUCUAGGAAUAGAUAAACAGCAGCUCAACCUUCCCAUAUCGUAUCCGUUAACGACUUAGACUUUAGAUCAAGUACACUUCCCACAAGUUCACGUUUAGAGCAAAUCUUAAUUAAUAACAGUCAUGCCUAAACUUGAGAGAGAUUUUAAUUUUGAGAACUAGUCAUGAGAGAGCAACUACUCAUCAUUUCCAUGUGAGAGCUUAUCAUGAGGGUUCAUAGCAAACUUUAUUUAUUUAUUUAUUUAUUUAGCAAACUAAGCAAAGAUAUAUAUAAAAGCACAAAAUCUUUAUUUGGGUUUUUAUGAUUAUGCAUCUUUUUAUUAUUUGAGUAAAGUAUAAACGUGAGUAGAACACUUAGCUGGAUAAAUGAGAGUGCUCUCCCGCAAGCUGGAUUUUGACGUAAUUUCUUCUGAUGUAGCUAGCCAGUAGCGGAGGUGUAUUUGAAUGUCGGCAGCACCCUGACAGCGAUUAUGAUGUCCUCCGUCUGCUUAGUCUUCUUUGAUCUUUGAAUUCUGUGGAGCUCAAAUAGACAACAAAGUUUUGUGGAACUAGUUAAGUGUUAGCAUAAGUAUCUAGCCUUUAUCAUGUUGAGCCUCCUCUAAAAAAUAUUACUCUCUUUAGUAGGAUCACAAUCUUAUUUUUAUAUUUUUAUUUUUAUAGGACAGGAAUAUAUUUAUUUUAUUUUUACGCCACCACAGUGAAUGUACUUAUGGGUUUUAUGCCAUGAGCAUACUCACAUGGGGCUUACUAUUUUUAACAUUUUUAUUUUCUUUUCAAGAUGAUAUGAACCUGAUUAACUAAGCAAAUUAUUUUAAAUAAUUGAAAGGAAAGAGGAUAACUACCAAGUUUUCCUCUUGGCAAGGCGUUCGGUGUUUUAAAGUCCUCCGAACGGGACUCUCCGUCUUCUCAGUCAUCCUGGGAUUCGCUGGAUGGUGUAGUCGGUGGUUCCGGUUGCGCCUCCUCUUUGUGUAUAACUAUCUUGUCUCUCCACACCUGACUCGGUGCUACGGUCUCCUCAGGACAGUUCUGUUCAAGCUGUAUGAGUUCAGACCUUACUACUUCUCCUUCAUAGUCUGCCCAUCCGUCCUUGAUGAUUUGCCUCCUCUAGUUGCGGUUGCGUCGUCUUCUUCUUGUCCUGACCUGCUUGGAGUCUUCAACUAUAUAGUUAGGGUCAGUAAAAUAGCGGCGUACCUUCUUAGAGGGGAAGUGCAUGUGGACUUCUCCAGUUCCAAUGUAGAUGAUUGCUUUAACGGUGCUGAGGAACGGUCUCCCAAGAAUGAUGGGUGGAUCAUUCUCGAUCUCUCCUAUGUCAAUAACCUUCAACCUUCCGGAAUGUCUGAUCUGCCAUCUGAAGCUGAAUGUAUGUCGGUUUUAGGGGCAUGGUUCCGAAUAGAAGCUGAUAGGUGACUGGGUAGGAAAGGUGACUUAAGUCGACGAUCUUGACCACCUUUAACUGCAAUGACCAUCUUAGCUGACUCGGUCUACAUUUGCUGGUUUAUGUUCCUCCUGAUGGUCCUCUUCCUUGGUUCAUGUCGGGAUUGCUCUGAGAUUUGUGUAGUCUUGUUCUUGAAGGAAAAUGUCUCCUUCCUCUCCUUGAUGUAGAAACUAAUCUUGGCAGCACUAGCGUAGAUGACAGCUCCCGAGGUGUUCAAGAAUAGCCUCCCUAAGAUGACGAGAGUCUCAUCAGAACUGGUCUCUAUCACCACGAAGUCUGCUAGGGCGUACAAGGUACCAACUCGGACGCAGAGGUUCUUCAAUAUUCCCUUUGGGGAAACUUAGCGUACGAUCUGCAAGCUGCAAACACAUGGUUGUUUCUAGUAAAGGAUAUGUAAAGAGUUUUUCAUAAAGUACCCUGAGCAUAAUGUUGACGCUAGAGCCAGAGUCACAGAGUGCUUCUAGGAAGUCCACCAUGCCGAUGGAGAUCGGGACGACGGGGCGUCCUGUAUCGUCUCUCUUGACCGGCAGAAGGUCAGUAAUUACUUCCACAAUGGGGUUACUCCAGUAGUUACGUCCUCAUGCAUCUCAGGGAAGUGAUUGCCUAAGCGUCCAGUAUCUCCAGUGUGUUUGUGCUCGUUCCAUGUUUUGCUUGAAGUGUACCUGCUCAUAGAGACAAGGCAGAGAUCAAGUGCAUGGGCCUUGUUGGUGGAAAAUACCAACAGAACCAAAAGUGUAUUUGUUCUUCUCUAACCUUAAGCAUAGUGAGCAAGACAAAGUUGAUCGAUAAUAAGAUCAUGAGUGUAGCAUUUAAAGAAUUUGUCAG